ACGGAGGGUGCAAGCGUUAUCCGGAUUUACUGGGCUUAAAGGGUGUGUAGGCGGCCUUUCAAGUCAGUGGUGAAAUCUCCGGGCUCAACCUGGAAACUGCCAUUGAUACUAUUAGUCUUGAAUUUUGUUGAGGUAGGCGGAAUAAGUCAUGUAGCGGUGAAAUGCAUAGAUAUGACUUAGAACACCAAUUGCGAAGGCAGCUUGCUAAACAAACAUUGACGCUGAGGCACGAAAGCGUGGGGAUCAAACAGG
rnacentral:rRNA from 1 species